GAUGAACGCUGGCGGCGUGCCUAAUACAUGCAAGUCGAGCGAAGCGGGGACGGGUGAGUAACACGUGGAUAACCCCCUAUAAGACUGGGAUAACUUCGGGAAACCGGAGCUAAACCGCAUACUUAUAGAUGGAUUCACGCUGCAUUAGCUAUUUGGUAGGUUAACUGCUUACCAAGGCAACGAUGCAUAGCCGACCUGAGAGGGUGACCGGCAAAACUGGAACGGAGAGAGGGCCAAGACUCCUACGGGAGGCAGCAGUAGGGAAUCUUCCGAAAUGGGCGAAAGCCUGACGGAGCAAAGCCGCGUGAGUGAUGAAGGUCUUCGGAUCGUAAAACUCUGUUAUCAGGGAAGCGGUACCUGAUCAGAAAGCCACGGCUAACUACGUGCCAGCAGCCGCGGUAAUAC
rnacentral:rRNA from 1 species